CCUACGGGAGGCAGCAGUGGGGAAUAUUGCACAAUGGGGGAAACCCUGAUGCAGUGACGCCGCGUGAGUGAAGAAGUAUCUCGGUACGUAAAGCUCUAUCAGCAGGGAAGAAAAUGACGGUACCUGACUAAGAAGCCCCGGCUAACUACGUGCCAGCAGCCGCGGUAAUACGUAGGGGGCAAGCGUUAUCCGGAUUUACUGGGUGAAAAGGGAGCGUAGACGGCAGCACAAGGCUGGAGUGAAACCCCGGGGCUUAACCCCGGAACUGCUUUGGACACCGUGCGGCUGGAGUGCAGGAGGGGUAAGCGGAAUUCCGAGUGUAGCGGUGAAAUGCGGAGAUAUUAGGAGGAACACCGGUGGCGAAGGCGGCUUACUGGACUGUAACUGACGUUGAGGCUCGAAAGCGUGGGGAGCAAACAGGAUUAGAUACCCUAGUAGUC
rnacentral:rRNA from 1 species